rnacentral:lncRNA from 1 species
GUACAUUUUGAGAUGACCCUGGGGUUCUAUGUACUUAGGAAACCAGGAGCAGGGGAGGACCGGGCACAUCAAAGAGAACAUGCUUCAGCCGCACAGAAGCCUGGAAACUCAGAGAAACAACAACCAGGGAACAGAGAGGAGUGUCCUCAAGAGGCUCAACUGAGAACUGAGAAGUUCCCAACUGCUGUGGACUUUCCUCUGUUCCUGCUGCCUUCCCAGGGUGAAUAAGGAGGAUUGGUAAUCAUCCACAUGGAAAGGGUAAUGUGUGUCUAACUGUAAGGCUUAUAGGUUUUAAAAAGAAGAAUAUAAAGUUAUGAAAUGAAAUGGGAGAAAAAUAUUAUACAGUGAUAAAAUCACAGCUUCUUUACUCAUUUCAAACAAAAGCCAGGAACACAGAAUUCAGACACUGAGGAGUUACUAGAUUUCUAGAAUAUGUCAUCAAAAUGCGGAG